GACGUAGGGCGCAAGCGUUGUCCGGAUUUAUUGGGCGUAAAGAGCUCGUAGGCGGCCUGUCGCGUCGACCGUGAAAACCCGCAGCUCAACUGCGGGCUUGCGGUCGAUAGGGGCAGGCUCGAGUUCGGUAGGGGAGACUGGAAUUCCUGGUGUGAGCGGUGAAAUGCGCAGAUAUCAGGAGGAACACCGGUGGCGAAGGCGGCGACCUGGUCCGAUACUGACGCUGAGGCGCGAAGGCGUGGGGAGCAAACAGG
rnacentral:rRNA from 1 species